UAGGGAAUCUUCCGCAAUGGACGCAAGUCUGACGGAGCAACGCCGCGUGAGUGAAGAAGGAUUUCGGUUCGUAAAACUCUGUUGUUAGAGAAGAACAGCGCAUAGAGUAACUGUAUGCGUGUGACGGUAUCUAACCAGAAAGCCACCGCUAACUAAGUGCCAGCAGCCGCGGUAAUACGUAGGUGGCAAGCGUUGUCCGGAUUUAUUGGGCGUAAAGCGAGCGCAGGCGGUCAAUUAAGUCUGAUGUGAAAGCCCCCGGCUCAACCGGGGAGGGUCAUUGGAAACUGGUUGACUUGAGUGCAGAAGAGGAGAGUGGAAUUCCAUGUGUAGCGGUGAAAUGCGUAGAUAUAUGGAGGAACACCAGUGGCGAAGGCGACUCUCUGGUCUGUAACUGACGCUGAGGCUCGAAAGCGUGGGUAGCAAACAGG
rnacentral:rRNA from 1 species